GGGUAAGUCCUACACGACCAGCUCCUUUCAAAUCCCCCAGGGUGGGAACACAGCAAGGGUAGAUUGUGUAGCGGUGCGAUGUAGUAAGCUUACCCACU
rnacentral:SRP_RNA from 1 species